GAUGAAGAACGUAGCGAAAUGCGAUACUUGGUGUGAAUUGCAGAAUCCCGUGAACCAUCGAGUCUUUGAACGCAAGUUGCGCCCGAAGCCAUUAGGCCGAGGGCACGCCUGCCUGGGCGUCACACGUCGUUGCCCCCCCAUCUACUCCUUCGGGAUUGCGGGGGGCGGAUGAUGGCCUCCCGUGCGCCUCGUCGCGCGGUUGGCAUAAAUGCCAAGUCCUCGGCGACGCACGCCACGACAAUCGGUGGUUGCGAAACCUCGGUUGCCCGUCGUGUGCGGUCGUCGCGCAUCGAUGGCUCGAAAAAAUUGCCGGGCUCCGGCUCGGCUUUCAACGCGACCCCAGGUCAGGCGGGGUUACCCGCUGAAUUUAAGCAUAUCAAUAAGCGGAGGA
rnacentral:misc_RNA from 1 species